rnacentral:rRNA from 1 species
AUCCAGACUCCUACGGGAGGCAGCAGUGGGGAAUAUUGCACAAUGGGGGAAACCCUGAUGCAGCGACGCCGCGUGAGUGAAGAAGUAUUUCGGUAUGUAAAGCUCUAUCAGCAGGGAAGAAGUUGACGGUACCUGAGUAAGAAGCCCCGGCUAACUACGUGCCAGCAGCCGCGGUAAUACGUAGGGGGCAAGCGUUAUCCGGAUUUACUGGGUGUAAAGGGAGCGUAGACGGCAGUGCAAGUCUGAAGUGAAAGCCCCGGGCUUAACCCGGGAAUUGCUUUGGAAACUGUACGGCUGGAGUGCUGGAGAGGUAAGCGGAAUUCCUAGUGUAGCGGUGAAAUGCGUAGAUAUUAGGAGGAACACCAGUGGCGAAGGCGGCUUACUGGACAGUAACUGACGUUGAGGCUCGAAAGCGUGGGGAGCAAACAGGAUUAGAUACCCUAGUAU